UACGUAGGGGGCGAGCGUUAUCCGGAUUCAUUGGGCGUAAAGCGCGCGUAGGCGGCGCGCCAAGCGGAACCUCUAACCUCGGGGCUCAACCUCGAGCCGGGUUCCGAACUGGCGCGCUCGAGUUCGGUAGAGGCAGGCGGAAUUCCCGGUGUAGCGGUGGAAUGCGCAGAUAUCGGGAAGAACACCGAUGGCGAAGGCAGCCUGCUGGGCCGACACUGACGCUGAGGUGCGAAAGCUAGGGGAGCGAACAGGAUUAGAUACCCUGGUAGUCCUAGCCGUAAACGAUGGACGCUAGGUGUGGGGAGGAUCGCCUCUCCGUGCCGAAGCCAACGCAUUAAGCGUCCCGCCUGGGGAGUACGGCCGCAAGGCUAAA
rnacentral:rRNA from 1 species